ACCUUCAUUUAGGCCAGUAGAUGUCACACAUCGAGAAAUGAACAAAAUUAAAUGAAGAUUUCAAACCCCUCAGACGCUGUCGGACCUACCUCCGGUACCAGGGUCUGGUUUCCGUUCAAUGCUGCCAUGAUGUUAUUUUAGCGUCCGCAUAUAAAGCAGAGAUGGCGGGCUUUCCUCCCAGACCCCGUAUGAGGACAGUCUGUGAAAACAGCCAGCUGCAUCGCUGUCGGAGUUCCUACCUGCACGCUCCGUUUCCUGUUCACAUGACUUCGAAUAUUGUCAUAGCUGGUGGGGAUUGAGCCCCUGAUACCUGACACAACUUACCAUACAAGGACAGCUGCAUCUCCAGAGGCGAGUGUGGGACAUCCUCCUCACUGACAGACUGAAUGCAGGCCCACUGCUCACAACAGCAGCACUCAAAAACAUAUUCAGAAGAAGAAUAAUAU